AAGUAAUGUCAAAAACGAAAGUACGAUUGAUAUUUAAAUGCAUUAUUUGUCUAUUUCCGGGAAAUUGUUUUAGUACGUUAAUGCUGCAUUAACAAAUAUAAGUGUAUAUGAAGUGAAGCUUCCAGAGGAAAUCGUCUUCCCCUUGAAGACUGUGGGUGACUUUGAGGCAGUGGAGACAAGAUUGGAUGAUGAAACAACCUCUUCCUCUGUUGUGAAAUAUAUAGCUGACCUUGGUGGCCGAGAUGUAUAGGACACUGUUUGCCACACCAUGCUAACUUUCAUUGACAACUGCCUAGCAAGCAAUUUAAUUUCAGGAGCCUAAAGGGAAAAGAAAGUUUGAGGGUCUAAACAUCACAGGCAUAAUUUUUCGUUGUCUGCGCAUGCAUCCAGUAAGUAGGCAAGCAAACCUGAAAGACAUGGAGGCUGCUGUAACGAAGUGGCUUGGAGGGGCGAGGGGCAGGAACGGCGGACGGAAAUCCAGAGACACUUUGAGGGGCCUGCUCUUGCAACGCCUCCUCCUGGAUCGCCUUCCAGCACACCAGAAAAUCCAUUAAAUUUUCCUGUUGACCAUUAUUUUGAAUUAAAACAUAUUGUAGAUUAUGUAUGAAUAUGGUGUGUAUUUAGUUUUUUUUUAACAAAGUGCAUAAUACGGCUAAUUUUAUUCAUCUUUUAAACUUGUUCUUUACAUUUCAUAGUCCGUAAAUUGGAAUGUAUUUUAUUUUUCCAAACUGCAUAAUUAAAUAAGGUUUUUAAAUUAUGUUUAUUUUUUCCACGAUUCCUAGUUAGUAUUUCUUAAGGUUCUAGUCAGCAUUAUUUGGCAAGCAUUUAACUAUUUUAUUGAAUGUAGUGCUUUUGGGGAAACAUGUUUUGUUUUACAUUGUUGUCUUUGCAGGUUAAUAUUUAAUUAUUUAAACAGUUUCAGUAGCUUUUUGUGCAUGUUUUAUAAGUGACGUUUUGCUAACCUGAGAGUUACUGAAGUUUUAAUGACAAAAGUGAGUCUAUUUUUUGUGAGUAGUACUUUUAUUGUAUACAGCAGCAUUUUACGGAUUCUGGUUAUUUGCUUGCAUAUUUGUUGCUGACUCAUCGUUUAUCAUGAUUUGAUGAUUUCAUUCUGAUUUGUAUGUUCUUUUUUAUGCAUGUUUAUGUGUGUACAUAUUUUAAGGCAGUAGGUAAUCAGAAUUUUAGUGUGACAAUAUCUAAGGCGAAUUUGAAUCUUGGUUAACAAACUGGAUCACCAUAGAAAAUCUUCAUAAACUUUGUUUAAAGUCUAGAAAGUCAUAAAAUUAAAAACCUGUUUAAUUUUUUAGUGAAAAAAAACUCUUUUGGACUUAUUUGUUAGCAACCCAAUGUAUAUGUCGUAUAGACUGAUAUAGGAAAAACUUGUAACAUAGUUGUGAGCAAAAUUAGAUUUAAAGGUCUAAUUUUAUCAUAUGAGUUGGCAACCAUUGUCUGAACACUUAUUCUCAACAUUGGUCGUCUUAUUUAUAUAGAGCUAAUUGAACUGUUAGUAGUAAAAGUCAUUUCAUUAUAGACUCAAUUAAAUACAUAUACAUUUAAGGCUUCGAUCAUGUACAUUUGUGUGAGCGGUUUAAAACAUAUAAAGACGGUCAAAAUUUAUGUGUAUCUUUUACUGUUUGAUGUCUGCAUGUACGUUUACCAUGUGUUUGUUACAUUGUAUUUUGUGAGAUACUUCUGAUAAAAAAGUUAGUUCAUUCUUACUGUAAGUGGUGUAUAUGCAACUGUAAGUGUCGUAUAUGCACUGACCUUGUGUGCACAAAUUGUUGCAGUGACUCAUAGCUGUGAUGUUCGAAUCAGAACUUUCACAGAUCUGCUUGUAACCAUUUGUUACGUUAAUUGUUUUUUUACUUAUUUAAUAUUAAAACAAAUUAUUA